rnacentral:rRNA from 1 species
AUACGGGGGGUGCAAGCGUUGUCCGGAAUUACUGGGCGUAAAGGGCGUGUAGGCGGCUUAUUAAGUCAGAUGUGAAAGCCCACGGCUUAACCGUGGAACUGCAUUUGAAACUGGUAGGCUUGAGUAUGAGAAGGGGUAGUGGAAUUCCCAGUGUAGCGGUGAAAUGCGUAGAUAUUGGGAAGAACACCAGUAGCGAAGGCGACUACCUAGCUCAUUACUGACGCUAAUGCGCGAAAGCGCGGGGAGCAAACAGGAUUAGAAACCCCAGUAGUCC